rnacentral:rRNA from 1 species
AACGAACGCUGGCGGCAUGCCUAACACAUGCAAGUCGAACGAGACCUUCGGGUCUAGUGGCGCACGGGUGCGUAACGCGUGGGAACCUGCCCUUAGGUUCGGAAUAACUCCCCGAAAGGGGUGCUAAUACCGGAUAAUGUCUUCGGACCAAAGAUUUAUCGCCUUUGGAUGGGCCCGCGUUGGCUUAGCUAGUUGGUAGGGUAAAAGCCUACCAAGGCGACGAUCCAUAGCUGGUCUGAGAGGAUGAUCAGCCACACUGGGACUGAGACACGGCCCAGACUCCUACGGGAGGCAGCAGUAGGGAAUAUUGGACACUGGGCGAAAGCCUGAUCCAGCAAUGCCGCGUGAGUGAUGAAGGCCUUAGGGUUGUAAAGCUCUUUUACCCGGGAUGAUAAUGACAGUACCGGGAGAAUAAGCUCCGGCUAACUCCGUG